AGAAAUCAUCUUAUUACAUAAUAACUAGUAAGCUAUCAAAACUGUAAAUCAUAUAAGUUUUCAUGUUAAACGUCUUGUAAAUCACCCCCGACAUAUUCAUUUAACACAUUUGAUUGUCUAGUGUAUCGAUGGACCAUCAGGGUAUUAGCACCUCGUUUUGAAUAAUUCAAUUAAAUCUCAAUAUUCAUGUUUACUCAUUAACCAUUAACCAUUACAUUACACAUGCAUUUAAUUAUUGAUACGACUCCUAUUGACUCAAAUUUGAGGACGGAUACAUGGGUCAAUCCACCAACACACCCGCAUACGCACCAAAGUACUAGUCGAGCAUAAAUGCACUGAUCCCACCAACCACACCAGAAUACACUCGUGCCCCAGGGUAUUUGAGCUGGUGAUACAUUCUCAACUCCCAAGAUUUAGAGAACUAUCAUAAUAUAAUAUGUGCCCAGCACUAGAUCUCUCACCUAUCAAAACAAACCUUAUAGUAUGUCAGCUAUACCCGUAACUUUAUCCGAAACUGUUAAUAGGACAUUUUCCUUUAUCAUGUAUAAUAUAUCAAAUCAUGUUACAUAGGAAAAUAACAUCCCAAUAUCACUUUCAACCAUAUAACAUAGAUAACCUUUUGAUGUCAUCAUUACCAAAAGUACACAAUCGAAAAUAUACCAAACCAUUUUCACCAUAUACAUAGCAUCGCAAUGCAAUCUCUUAUUUACAUAUUUCAAGCAUAUCUUGAGCUUAUUGGUAAUUAAGUACAUACAUACCUCGAAUUGUGUCUGAUGAAAAUAUUAUUUGAUUAUGUUAACUACCUAUUAAAGCAUAAAUUGAGGUCAAGUUAUGAGUGCACAACUUUACCUUUCAAUUAACCAAUUUAAACAUAAAUCAGUCUUAGUAUUCAACGCAAAUCAACUUAAAUAAUAAAUCAUAUAACACCAUAUUUCAAUAAAAACUAAUAUAGUCUUUUAAACUCAACAUUGUUCAAUCUUUCAAAUAUGAUUUCAACCUAAUUAAUUCUAUGUCUUAAUUACUUAGUAAUUAAGUGAAAUCAAUUAUGCUAGCACAAAUCAAAAUUGUUGCCCGUCUUUUGAUUCACAUUUGUCCCUCAACGUUCCAUUCUUGUUAUUAGCUACGUUCGAUAAGUUUAAUUACGAAAAUCUAUUAGUCAAACAUUUCGAACAUAGGUUACAACAAUUUAAAUAUAAAUGCAUUUAUUUCAAUUUGAUCCCUCAAAUCACUAAUGUCCGUAAUACAUAUAUCUCAUAAUUUACCUGAUCAAAUUUAAAUCCGACUUUAUAAAUAUAGUACAAUGACCUCAUAAUACUAUUACUCACUAUCAAACCUCAAAGUUUUAUCCCUUACAAUUAGUUCUUUACUAACACAUAAUUAAUUCUAUAAUCUAAACUUGAUUCAAGCUUAUACCAACAAUUUCCACUAUCUUUCAAGCAUGAUUUUAGCACAACCAAGCUUAGUUAUAUUCAAUUUCAUGUUUUCAAUCUUCAAUACUUUAUAAAUUCAAUAAUGGCAAUUUGAGAAAAACUUCAUAAUAGCACAAACUAAAAAUUGGGUUAAGCAUAUCAUGUUUUCUUAACCAAAAUUCCAUGAACAAUUUGUAAAAUGUGUUCACUUACCUCAGGUUAAUUUGGCCGAAUAUGGAAGAAGCUCAACCCAUAUUUUUCUUUCUUCCAUAGCCGAUUGUAGAUGAACAAGAAAAAGAGAAAUGUGUUUUCUCUUUCCUUCCA
rnacentral:lncRNA from 1 species